rnacentral:rRNA from 1 species
GACGAACGCUGGCGGCGUGCCUAACACAUGCAAGUCGAACGGAAAGGCGCUGCUCUUGCGGGGUGCUCGUGUGCCGAACGCGUGAGUAAAACGUGAGUAACCUGUCCUUGACUUUGUGAUAACUUCAGGAAAAUCGGGCUCUUACCGGAUAGGAGCUCCUGCUGCAUGGUGGGGGUUGGAAAGAUACGGCGGUUUGGGCUGGUCUAGCGGCUUAUGAGCUAGAUGGUCAGGUAGUGGCUUACCAAGGUUAUGACGGGUAGCCCGCAUGGGAGGUUGACCGGCGACAUGGGGACUGAGAUACGGACCAGACUCCUACGGGAGGCAGCAGGGGGGAGUAUUACACAGUGGGCGGAAGCGAGAUGCAGAAACGCCGCGUGCGGGAUGACGGCCUUCGAGUUGAGAACCACUUUCUCAUGUAACAAAGCGUGAGUGACGGUAAUGAGUAAGAAAGCAACGGCUAACUACGUG